UACAGAGGUCUCAAGCGUUGUUCGGAUUCACUGGGUUUAAAGGGUGCGUAGGAGGGCAGGUAAGUCAGUGGUGAAAUCUCCGAGCUUAACUUGGAAACUGCCGUUGAUACUAUCUGCCUUGAAUAUUGUGGAGGUGAGCGGAAUAUGUCAUGUAGCGGUGAAAUGCUUAGAUAUGACAUAGAACACCAAUUGCGAAGGCAGCUCGCUACACAUAUAUUGACUCUGAGGCACGAAAGCGUGGGGAUCAAACAGG
rnacentral:rRNA from 1 species